rnacentral:rRNA from 1 species
GAUGAACGCUGGCGGCGUGCUUAACACAUGCAAGUCGAACGGAAAGGCUCCUGCUUGCAGGGGUACUCGAGUGGCGAACGGGUGAGUAACACGUGGGUGAUCUGCCCUGCACUUCGGGAUAAGCCUGGGAAACUGGGUCUAAUACCGGAUAGGACGAUGGUUUGGAUGCCAUUGUGGAAAGUUUUUUCGGUGUGGGAUGAGCUCGCGGCCUAUCAGCUUGUUGGUGGGGUAAUGGCCUACCAAGGCGUCGACGGGUAGCCGGCCUGCGAGGGUGACGGCCACAUUGGGACUGAGAUACGGCCCAGACUCCUACGGGAGGCAGCAGUGGGGAAUAUUGCACAAUGGGCGCAAGCCUGAUGCAGCGACGCCGCGUGGGGGAUGACGGCCUUCGGGUUGUAAACUCCUUUCGCUAGGGACGAAGCGCAAGUGACGGUACCUGGAGAAGAAGCACCGGCUAACUACGUG